CUGUAUUUAUUUCAGUACCCUUGUUUUUAUUCUUUCUUUUGUUUACUCAUUGAACCAAUCACUAAGAAAUGAGAGCCAGCCACUCUGUUAGGAACUGAGCUGUAGCUACAGAGUUAUGACCUUAGGGAGCUGACUUUUCCAGCAGAGGAAAAACACAGUAAACGCUCUCCAGUAUGUUGGUGAUGCCUGCAGGUGACAGUGCUAUGUAGCCAGAUCCCUGUGUUGUAUGUAUGGAUACACUGCAUUGUUUGCAUGUGAAUGAAGAUUUCAGGCAUACUCUCCAUUUUGCACAGGUUGACAGCCUUAGUUUCUAGAUUCGUAAGCACUCAGACCGUUUACAGAGGCAAUAGAAGAAGCUGCACACAUGCUUUCCAAUUGGGCUUUAGCUAACUCCUAGGUUGUGGUCCUUGGGAGUUCUCUAUAUACCCUGCAGAAAGAUUCCCAAUUAUCAGUUAUAUUCUUGGAAGUAAAUGCCUUAAAUUAAAUGCUGCUUUUGUCCUCUACCAUUGUGUUCCAGGAAGUGCUGAAUGUGAAACCAGUUGCAUAAGGAAAGUUUCAGUAUAGCAAAAAUUCCAGGAUGUUCCAGAAAUCCUUUUGGGUCAGUGAAAUAACUCAGCAGGUAAAGGCAGUUGGUGGCAAGCUUGAAGACUUGGUUUAAUCCCUGGAACCCAUACGGUUGAAUGGAGUGAAUGGAGAGAAGUGACACCCACACAUUUCCUAUUAGGCACACACUUGUGCUGACAUUAUAAUUGCCCCCUCAUAAAUAGAUGUAAUAAAAACUUUUUAAAAGUU